CACGUAGUUAGCCGGUGCUUCUUUACCCAUUACCGUCACUCACGCUUCGUCACAGGCGAAGGCGGUUUACAACCCGAAGGCCGUCAUCCCGCACGCGGCGUUGCUGCAUCAGGCUUCCGCCCAUUGUGCAAUAUUCCCCACUGCUGCCUCCCGUAGGAGUCUGGGCCGUAUCUCAGUCCCAAUGUGGCCGGUCACCCUCUCAGGCCGGCUACCCGUCAAAGCCUUGGUAAGCCACUACCCCACCAACAAGCUGAUAAGCCGCGAGUCCAUCCCCAACCGCCGAAACUUUCCAACCCCCACCAUGCAGCAGGAGCUCCUAUCCGGUAUUAGCCCCAGUUUCCUGAAGUUAUCCCAAAGUCAAGGGCAGGUUACUCACGUGUUACUCACCCGUUCGCCACUCGAGCACCCCACAAAAGCAGGGCCUUUCCGUUCGACUUGCAUGUGUUAAGCACGCCGCCAGCGUUCGUCCUGAGCCAGGAUCAAACUCU
rnacentral:rRNA from 1 species